AUUCAUUUAGGGAAUUCAAGUCCGCGUGCAAAAUGCACGUCAGGAACCAGGGGAGCUUGACUCUACAUUUGACUCUACAUUGGGAGCUUCACGUUUCUUUAAUCUACAGUUUUUUGCAUCUCGUUAACAAAUCUACUGUAUUUUGCAUCUCGUUAACAAAUCUACUGUAUUUUGCAUCUAUACGGCUGUAGUACCAUUCAUCCCUUUCCCCAUUCUCAUUCUCCUCCCGUUCCUUACCUGAUCUAAGGAUUCAUCCACAAUACGUUGCUAGAUCUUGCUAAGAAAAGAGGACAGGGGAGAAGUGGGAUUUGGGGUGGAGUGCGGUGGCUCCAGGCUCCCGACGGCGGCAUGUCAUCCAGCUCGACCACACGUGCCUGCAGCUCGCCGCCGUCAUCGAUUGGAUGGCCAUGGAGUUGGGUCCACUUGAACAUGAGGGGUGGCACUCCUCUAGGUAAUCACUCAUCUUCCUCUCCUUCUCCUUCCUUCCCAGAUCUUGGUCUGCUAACCUCCAGCAAUGGCAUGGAUUCUUUAUGGAGAUUUGCUAUGGCUAUGAGAAGGGGAUGAUUAAGGUCACCUGACCUUUCUCCGUCUUUUCCGGUGUAGAAAUUUUCUCUUGGAGAGAAGGAUUUUUUGCCCCCAAGCAGCAAGGCUUCGAGGCCACCGGAGAAAAUAAGAGAUUCGUUUCACUGAGUGGCGUUGCUCUCCAGUUCGUGGCGCUGGCCUAGAGCUGUGUCGUCGGGUUGGACGGCCAUGUUCUUCAUAGUGUUCUAGGAUAUAACUUAUGUCACUUGCCAUUGAUGUGCCUUGCGUUGUUUUAGGGAAUCGAACCUAUUUUUUUAGUUGACAUUCUGCCCAACUUUGAUUAUUGUCUCUUCAAGACAACCGUAAUAAUUAUAUGAAGUUUCCUAUAGCAAAAAGUGUUCAAUAUUUGUUGGAUAAAAGGUGUGUUCUUUCUAUAUGUUGUUACCAUAUAUUAGCAACUUAUAUUAAUAAUAGGUGUAUUUAAGACAAAGAAAGAAGGCUUGCAUGUAUUCACUGACUUUGGCCCAUAUGUGUUAAUUGAUAUGCAAUAGAUUUUAGUUUUUUCACAUGUGUUGUGGGAGAUGCCUAUAACACUGAAGCUUUUCUCUUUGUUCUCUUCAACUGAAAAGGCUGUAGGAUAGAAGGGUUGUUUCCAAGAACAACAUAAAACUCACAAAAGUGCAUGUAUGAAUGUGUUUCGAAUAAUUACAAUUUGACAUGUUUCUCAUAGUGCUAAGUUUUGACCCUUAUCUAAUAAUAAUAAUUGUCCGCCUUAUACUGAUCUUUGUCAAGCAUUAUUUCUCUAUCUCAGUAAACAUAAAUGGUUUGCUUGGUGCUUCUGAGAUCUUCCCAUCCAAUAAGUUUAGCAAUUUUUACAUACCACUCUCAUUAAGAGUAAAUAUAAUAUGGAAGUUCUCAUUCAAAUUGGCAGAAUAUGCUUACCAGGUGUUAUGGUUUCUUGAUAUGUACCACAAUUUUCGCAGUAGGACUUUCCACUUUCCUUUGUAGUUAGUUUGUGUCAAUCAGAAUUUGAUCAUUUGAAUAUUUUUGUGUAAUAGAUUAUUAUACAUAUUGUUGUGAAAAACAAAAUCGUAAAAAAAUCACCCAAAAACUUAGCAUCCCGAAGAAGUUGAGAGACAAAUAAUUUAGAUAUGACUCCACUAUAACUGAUAUGACUCAAUUGUCAGAAAAGCACUACAGGUCUGAGAGUCUCGUUUCCUCAAGAAGUGGUGAUAUCAUAUCUUAGAAGAAGUUUGAACCAUCACCUGACUUGUCUUGGUUUUGUGCCUCAUUCCAGUAAGUUCUCGUAAUGUUCUCCUUCUAUAAAAUAUUUCAAUGUUCCUUGUUUAUUGUUAUCCAUCUCGAUCAUUUUUGGUAAACUUUCUUGUCCUGCAUAUAUGGAGUUAGUCAAGUAAAAUUGUUAUAUUAUAUUGGUGAAUAAACAUGAGUCACGAUUCAUUUGGAAAAGUAAUAGAAGAUAUUUAGAUUUAUCUAGCAUGACUCAAAAUCUUCAUCAAGUAUACAGCUUUAGAUAGGUUGGCGCUUGUUGUUUUUGUACCGUGCCUCGUACCAUUGUCUAUUUUUCUGCCCAAAGUCCGACUUGUCUGUCCGUUAGAAUUAGAUGCAAGUGCUUGCAUGUACACAUGGGAUGUGUUUGGCGGCUAGACUUUUUAGUAUAUUUCCCAGUAAGUUGAAUGAUUUAGGCGUGCCUUUUGUUUUUCACCGAAGGACCUGCCCAUGUUUUUUUAAAGUGUGUAGAUGAUCUGAUUUUGUACUCCUAGUAGAUUGAAUUACUUAGGCAUAUAUUUUUUUCUCUCUCAAAAGGACAUGCCCACUUUUUCCUAAUUUGUAUAGGCGACCUAGCUUUGUACGUACGGGCCCAUACUGAAAUAUGUUUGUACGUGAACAAUCAUUUCCUAGUAGAUUGAAUUACUUAGGCGUGCACAUGGAUUACUUAGACCUUUUCCGUGCCUCUUUCUUUUUCGGCUGUGUAGAUCUGUAUAUAUUCUUCUGGCGCUGGUUGACUUUAGGCACAACCCUAUUAAAUCAAUGACAAAUCUAUUAGAUUUGUUUGCAACAUCAUUGGCCUUACUGUAUGAAUUUCUACAAUAAUUACAUUCUCAUUUGAAAAAUAAGAAAACAUUCCCCAUACUUAGUCCUGGUUUCAUCACUCCUAAACGGAUAAGCUUCCCGCAAAAAAAAGGGUAAGCUGAAAAGUGUUAAUCUUAGCCGCAAUGGUGGAAGUCCAAUUAAAAUUUCAGUAAUGGGCAUGCAUUUUGCACUUGAUCUGUUAUUAGAAGCAGUCUUGUGGCAAUAUGAAGUUUGUAAAAUCAUUUUUGUUAUUCUUGAUUUCUUUUUUUGCGGGGAUUGUUAUUCUUGAUUGCACAUGCUUCAUUUGGGUGAAUAAUCCAAUGUCAUACAAAGUUGGAGAUUAAUUUCUUCAAGUUUAGAAAUAUCAAUUAGAUUAUUUAAAAGUAUAGAGUAUAGACAUACCUGAGCCUUGCUUAACUUUAUCUCCCUGUUUUUGUAUCGUGUCCUUGGUGGCAAACUCGGAGUUGUAAUCUAGAAAACAUUCUAAUGGUCCUUUCACCUUCUUUACCUUUAAAUUGUACUCCCUCCGUUUUUUUAGUCUGCAUAUAAAAUUUGGUCAAACUCAAACUUUGUUAACUUUGACUAAGUUUAUAGAAAAUAAUAUGAAGAUUCACAAUAUGAAAUCAAUACUGUUAGAUACCUCAUGAAAUGAAUUUUCAUACCAUAUAGCUUUAGUAUUGUAGAUGUUAAUAUUUUUUUCUAUAAAAUUGGUCAAACUUUACAAAGUUUGACUUUGACCAAAUCUUAUAUGCUGACUAAAAAGAAACGGAGGGAGUAUGAAGAAAUAAAUUAAUUUCAUUUCUCAAUGGUGAUACUUUGUGGAUUUGACAAACUUAAAAGUAUUAUAUGCAUACCUGUAAAAAAGUGUUAUAUGCAUAAAUAGAACUAUCAUUUUCUUUCAUCAAUAUAAUUGUAUCAAAUUCUUCCGGAUAAUAGCAUGAUGCUUUUAAUGUUGAUAGUGACAUGAACUAUUUUGCCAUAUCAGUGCAAACAAAAUAUAAUUAGCAUUUGCUUGUUUUAAAUUGAUGAUCUGUUGUAUGAUUGAGGUAAUCCCACAUUCUCUGUACUUUCACUUGAAUGUUCUAGUUUAUCCUGUUGUUGGUAAGCACUAAAGCUUCUUCAACACCAUAGUUUUUUGGCUGUGAAAGGAUUCUAAAAUUCUUAGUCAGCUAUCUAUGUAAGCACUAAGCUUCAUCAACACCAUAGUUUUUUGGCUUUGAAAGGAUUCUGAAUUUGUUAGUCAGCUAUCUAUGCAACUUUUAUUCUGAUAAAUGAUUAAUUAAUUCAUAAUGUUUACGAACCUGAUUCAAGUGAGACGCAGCUCAGAAGAUCUGUCCUGACUUUACCGGGCAUUGAGAUGCAGCCACAUCAGAGUUUUGGCUUUCUUUGAUAUUUGUCUGGCAUCACAGAGCCGACAAUCUUCGAUUGUUGGUGGUGCUCUAAUCGGAUGGCAGAUUUGUUCUAUAGUCUUUGAUUUUGUUUGUGGUGCUCGCGUAGCAAAUUCUGGAAGACUUCAAUUUUCUCGGUGGUGCUCUGAUCAGGUAGCAGAUUUACAAACAUCGAUUUGUCCAGAAUUGGUUGGAUUCUGACUCUUGGGGUUGGAUGUGGCCGGCUGAGUGCCUUGUCCGAUCCAUGUGGAGUUUCUCUUUAUCAGGACUCCACAUGGUAUUUCCUUUUAUCAAGACUCCGUGUGGAGUUCUAUAGAUUGAGUCUGGUUGUAGUUCUCCUUGUUUUUUUGGCAUGCAUAUGCCCGAUUUGGAAUUAGACGCACGUGAGGUUUUGUAUAUGUGACGGUGGUGCUCUAGUAUGUGAUUACGUCUGGACGUGUCACACAAAAUAGAAUAUAUAUUGCCGUGUGAUCUUGUGUAGUUUAUCUUAGGCGUACGUUGUCCAGACUAUUCUCUUUUUCCGUGUGGACGAUUCCUGCUUGCACUCAUUAAUUACAUGUAGAUGAUUGACUCUUUCCGUACAUGUACAAUAUAUGCAUAUGCAUAGACGUGACAACGUGCUAGUUCAAUAAGUUAGUAAAUACAUGUUAGCAUGUUACGUAAAAACUUUUAAUCUCAGCCAUUAUUAUUUGAAUCUAACGGUGCAAAUAAUAUUAACAUAUGUGGAUAAAUGUGGUAGCUUAUUUGUCUUCUAUUUUAAGUAUAUAAUAGAAGAUUAUUCACGUCCGUUUGCCUAUCUUGAGGCGCCGUACCCGAAAGGGAUUGACAACCCCUUUUACGUGUCGGGUUGCGGGAAUUUUUCAUUUGUGUGCAGGUGCUUUUUACGUUGUGUUGCUUGGUUCUUCUACUGGUUCGAUAAUCUUGGUUUCACAUCUGAGGAAAAUACGUACCGCCGCUGUGUUGCGUCAUCCCUUCCUCUUUGGGUAAAUACCGACGUAGCUUCAAGCCGCAUCAACGUCCCAUCAAUUCUGAUGAUUGGAUGUGCUGGAUGUAAUGCUUUAUUUUCCCGUGCAACUAUUUCAGAUUGUGUACCACAUACUUCUAGGUAUCUUAAAUGAAUAGCAUGUUAUAAUUCGUAAGAGUUGUAUAGAAACUUCUACAGUCAAUGUCUGGUAAGUUACUCAUAGUACUGACUAUACCUUAUAUGAUGCACCAAUGAUGGUCAAUAGUAACUUUUAGAGAGCAGACAUGUCGAAGUUGAUCUCGAUGGUUAGCACAUCAAAUUGUUGUCUCAAAUCUCAACGUCCAUAAAAGAUGCAGAAAAUCUCCAACAAAAAGAAAAUACACAACUCUUUCGGUAGAUAUGGUUACUUGAGUAUCCUUGCCAAACAGCGUUGUAUUCUCAAUUGCAGGUCCUCAAAAUGUGGCAACUCGAUAUCAAAUUCAGCCAAAUGAGCUCCAUUUGCAAUAGUUUGUGUGGAACAAAAGAAUAUACUAUCUGUCUUAUGAUGAUAACGUAUGUACAACAACCAUUAUUACAAAAAUAUAGCGCCCAUACACAGUCCAUAUUAUAAAGGUUAUCUCUAAAUUGCAGCCACAAAUUACUUGUAGUUCCACUUUUCAUAAAAAACAUACUUUUAAAAUAUCAUAAUUUAUUCCUUUGAACAGAUCUUUCAAUAAAAAGCAAGCAUCAUACACAUAACGAAAAUACUGCCUUAUAACAAAAUGAACAAGCUAAAGUGAAUGCAAGCAUGCUUUCAGUGUUUAGUCUAUAACAGGCGGGUAAGGUUCCUCCUUGUUCAAAUGUUGUUCAUCAUCCCCUGUUAAAUAAGAAACAUCACCUCCAUGUAAGAUCAUGCUGAUUGACUCAAGGGAACAGAGAGCAAAAAUACAUUCCUGAAUCGGAUUCUGUUGAUGUGAGCGGUGGUUUAUGAUAUCCCUUGCCACAUUCUCACCAAUCUGCAAACACAUCAGGACACCCAAAAAAUUGCCCCGUUACGAAAUUUGCAGCAGGGGAAUCCUGACGGGAUAAGAAAAACUCGACCGGAGUGUCCCAUGCUGGAACAAAUGGAUGACAGGGGAGCCCAAAAUUACCUUGAGGCCUAAUGGGAUGUACUUCAUGGUGACAGCCUCCUUGGUCUCCUUGUUCCGCAUCAGCAGCGUGACAUCGAAGUUGCUAGUCACGAUAUGCUUGAGUAGCUCGUACCUCUCCAUGGAUCCCGGCCUGCGCGGAGCGACAACUACUGCUGAAGGCACCAGCGCUCCUCUCCUUGUGUUGUCGCAGUGCCUGCACCUUAGCCUCGCAGAUCAACGCCUCCAGGUCCGUUCUCGCGAGAUCCCGUGGACUCGUCGGUAAGAUGAUGUCGGCAUGGCGGCUGGCAGUGACAUUGAGGACGCUAACCCUAGUGCGUCGAAGGAUCAGGGUCGGGAGGUGCGUGCCAAAAGCGAGCGUGACCCUUACGUCUGCGGCGGCAAUCCAAACCGUUGGCGGCAGCGAGAUCGCAUGAGAUCCGGCGGCGUCUUCUCUGUGAAGUCGGCGGCGACGAUUUUGUGCGUCUGUGUCAGGAAGAUUGCACGACAUCGGCUGUGUUUACUCGAGGGGAUCGAGAGGAGCGGCGUUUCGUGCAGGGUAGGUUUUUUUUUGGUGCGUGUGUGGGGUAGGGAAGAGGACGAAAAAAACCAGUCGAAAAAACCAGAUGGAAGUGGCGGACGAAAAAAAACCAUGGAGGCAAUCCUACGUGCGGGAGGAGGUUUGCAACACCACUGAAGGUUAAGGCAAUGUGAAGCUUGAACAACGAAGUAAUAUAUUUAGAUAUUAGUAGUUCAAGUUUGCUAGAAAAAUCAUACGUCGGUAGAGAAAAACCAUAAGACCUUAUUAUGAUAAUUGUUGUAAUUGUACGACAUGGCUCUCAAGUGUUUGCAAUUAUAAAUCCUAAGGAGGGCAUUAAAAAUGAUAAAAAUACCUCAAGGAGACCGUACAGAAUAUAUUUUUCUGUAUUCCUUCUCCAACAACUGAUUUAUUUCUUCUGUCAAACAUUCAUAUUUCCCUGAUUCAAUUGGAGCAUUCUCAAUAGUAGCACUUCCUCCAAGAUUAUACACAGAGAUGUCCCAUCAAUUCUGAUGAUUGGAUGUGCUGGAUGUAAUGCUUUAUUUCCCCCUGCAACUAUUCCAGAUUGUGUACCACACUACUAGAAAAAGGGCUAUAGAUGAUAUGGCCACUAAUAACGCACCAGACAUGUCGUGCGCCAUUAGUAUAUACUAAUGGCGCACCAUGUGUAGGUGCGCCAUUAGUAACAAUUUUUUUUUUCAAAACUAGUAAUGGCGCACCAGUGGAUAGUGCGCCGUAAUGGUGCACCACAUUCACAGUGCGCCACUAGUAUUUUUUUUUUCAAAUAUUUUUUUCAUUUUUUUAUUAUUUAUUUUUUUAAAACUAGUAAUGGCGCACUGUCAACAGGUGCGCCAUUACUAAGUUUUUUUUCAAAAAAAUAUUCAGAAUUUGUUUUAUUUUUUUCAAAACUAGUAACGGCGCACCGUGGGUGUGGUGCGCCAUUACUAGUUUAACUAGUAAUGGCGCACCACUCCCACGGUGAGCCAUUACUAACUUGGCCCAAAAUUUCCACCGAAUGCACCCCCCCUGGACCGCCUUUUCAGUUAAAAAAAUAAAAAAAUUGAUGGAAAUGUCAAAAAAAUAAAAGAAAAUAAGUUUCCCAUGUGAUAUGUGGUUUAGUUGUUGGGAAAAUUUCCAAAUAUGAAUUUCGACUUUAUUUGCAAAAUCUCUCUAGAAUUUGUAAAAUGGGCAUAACUUUUGCAUACGAACUCGGAUUAAAAGGUUUUCUAUAUGAAAAAUUAUCUACUCGAAAAGUUACAUCCAAAUUUAACCGGGGGAACCCCGUUAAACAUUUUCAAAAUCCCCAAAAACCUAACAGAAAAAAGUUACGGGGCUUUUAAGAUCCGGAGGCAAAAAAAUUCAGAAAAUUUCAAACUUACUAGUGGCGCACCGUAUGCUAGGUGCGCCACUAGUAACAGAAAAAAAAUUGGUUUCGAAAAAUAAUUUGAAUUAUUUUUCAAAAUAUGAUACGUAAUAUGACCGGGAAGUUUGAAAUAUUUUUUCAAAAUUUCAUCAUACUCAUGAACUAAGUCCUAGACAUCAGCAAUGUUUAAUAGGAUUGAGAUGAUGGAUAUAUCAACAAGUGCCUGUGAAGUGAGGUGGUGCUGGGGUUGGAUAGAACUACGAAGUUAAGCGUGCUCGGGCCGGAGUAGUGUGAGGAUGGAUGACCUUCCGGGAAGUUUGACCAUAGAGUGUGAUUUGACCCGAGAUUAAGCCAUAGUGACCCGAAAUUAAGAAAAAAUUGAAAAAAAUAAAAAAAAUUGAAAAAAAUUGCUACUAAUGGCGCACUCCUGCGUGGUGCGCCAUUAGUAUACCAGAUACUAAUGGCGCACCGUGGGCUAUACUAAUGGCGCACCUGUGGUGUGCCAUUAGUAGCGAAAACAAGUGCGCCACUAGCAGCUCUUUUUCUAGUAGUGCCACAUACUUCUAGGUAUCCUAAAUGAAUAACAUGGUUAGAAUUCACAAGAGUUGUAUAGAAACUUCUACAGUCAAUGUGUAGUAAGUUACUCAUAGUACUAACUAUACCUUAUAGGAUGCACCAAUGAUGGUCAACAAUAACUUUUAGAGAGCAGACAUGUCGAAGUUGAUCUUGAUAGUUAGCACAUCGAAUUGAUGUCUCAAAUCUUAACGUCUAUAAAAGAUGCAAAAAACUCCAACAAAAGGAAAAUACAUCACUCUUUCAGUAGAUAUGAUUACUCUAGUAUCCUUGCCAAAAAGUGUUGUAUUCUUCAAUUGCAGGUCCUCAAAAUGUUUCAACUCGGUAGCAAAUUCAUCCAAAUGAGCUCCAUCCGCAAUAGUUUGUGAGGAACAAAAGAAUAUACUAUCUCUCUUAUGAUGAUAACAUAUGUACAACAACCGUUAUUACAAAAAUACAUCGGCCAUAAACAGUCCAUAUUAUAAAGGUUAUCACUAAAUUGCAGCCACAAAUUACUUGUAGUUCCACUUUUCAUAAAAAAACAUACUUUCAAAAUAUCAGAAUUUAUUCCUUUGCACAGAUCUUUCAACAAAGGGACAAUUGCAUUUUCCCCCUAGUUGGUUCCUACCCACGGGUUUUGCCCUUACUUUUCGAGCUUGCUCAGUUUUGCCCUUACCUUUUCCGUCGAGGUCCCUCGAAUGCCCUUUGACCGUUUGACCAAAACUUUGAAAAUUCAUAACUAAUUCAUAUGAACUCAGAAAAAUACAAAUAAGAUAUCAAAAUGUUCAGAUAAACAUUACCUUUAUGUGCAUAUCAUUUGCAUUCAGGACAAAAGCACCCUUUAAACUACCUAAGGUAAUUAAUGUUAUUAACAUUAUUAAAAAUAAAAGGUAUAAACAAUAUUUUUUUUCAUGAAUAAAAAUUACAUGCAAAUGUAGGUGAUGUUUCCUGAACAUCCUGAUAUCUUAUUUGCAUUUUUCUGAGUUCGUAUAAAUUUUUUAUGAAGUUUCGAAAUAAUGGUCAAAGUCGUUAGAACAUUCAUAACAAGAUGAUACGGACUCAGGAAAAUGCAAAUAAGAUAUCUGGAUGUUCAGUAAACAUCACCUACAUUUGCAUGUAAUUUUUAUUCAUGAAAAAAAAUUGUUUAUACCUUUUUAUUUUUAAUAAUGUUAAUAACAUUAAUUACCUCAGGUAGUUUAAAGGGUGCUUUUGUCCUGAAUGCAAAUGAUAUGCACAUAAAGGUAAUGUUUAUCUGAACAUUUUGAUAUCGUAUUUGCAUUUUUCUAAGUUCAUAUGAAUUGGUUAUGAAUUUUCAAAGUUUUGGUCAAACAAUUAAAGGGCAUUAGAGGGACCUCGACUGAAAAAGUAAGGGCAAAACCCGUGGGUAGGAACCAACUAGGGGUAAAAAUGCAAUUGUCCCUUCAAUAAAAAGCAAGCAUCAUACACAUAACGAAAGCACUGCCUUGUAACAAAAUGAACAAGCUAAAGUGAAUGCAAGCAUGCUUUCAGUGCUUAGUCUAUAACAUGCGGGUAAGGUUCCUCCUUGUUCCCAUGUUGUUCAUCAUCCCCUGUUAAAGAAGAAACAUCAUCUCCAUGUAAAAUCAUGCUGAUUGACUCAUGGGAACAGAGAGCAAAAACACAUUCUUGAAACGGAUUAUGUUGAUGUGCCGCGCGAGCGGUGGUUUAUGAUCUCCCUCGCCACAUUCUCACCAAUCCGCAAACACAUCAGGACACCUGAAAAAGUUCCCCGUUGCUAAAUUUGCAACAGGGGAAUCCUGACGGGAUAAGAAAAACUCGACCGGAGUGUCCCAUGCUGGAACAAAUGGAUGACAGGGGAGCCCGAAAUUACCUUGAGGCCCAAUGGGAUGUACUUCAUGGCACAACCUCCUUGGUCUCCUUGUUCCACAUCAGUAGCGUGACGUCGAAGUUGCCAGUGGCGGUAUCCUUGAGUAGCUCAUACCUCUCCAUGGAUCCCGGCCAGCACCGAGCGACAAUUGAUGCUGAAGGCACCAGUGCUCAUCUCCUUGCGUUGUCGCAAUGCCUGCACCUUGGCCUCGCAGAUCAACGCCUCCAGGUCCGCGCUCGUGGGAUCUCGUGGACUCGUCGGUAAGAUGAUGUCGGCAUGGUGGCUGGCAGCGGUUGGUGGCGGCGCGGAGGACACUAACCCUAGUGUGUCGUGGGAUGAAGGUCAGGAGGUGCGUGCCAAAAGCGAGUGUGACCCUUACGUCUGUGGCGCCAAUCCCAUACUGUGGCAAUGAUCCCGUACAUCGGUGGCAGCUAGAUCGCACGAGAUCCGACAGCAUCUUCUCUAUGAGGUUCAUGGCGGCGAUUUCAUGUGUCUGUGUUAGGAAGAUCGCACGACGACGACUAUGUUUACUCGAGGGGAUCGAGAGGAGCGGCNNNNNNNNNNNNNNNNNNNNNNNNNNNNNNNNNNNNNNNNNNNNNNNNNNNNNNNNNNNNNNNNNNNNNNNNNNNNNNNNNNNNNNNNNNNNNNNNNNNNNNNNNNNNNNNNNNNNNNNNNNNNNNNNNNNNNNNNNNNNNNNNNNNNNNNNNNNNNNNNNNNNNNNNNNNNNNNNNNNNNNNNNNNNNNNNNNNNNNNNNNNNNNNNNNNNNNNNNNNNNNNNNNNNNNNNNNNNNNNNNNNNNNNNNNNNNNNNNNNNNNNNNNNNNNNNNNNNNNNNNNNNNNNNNNNNNNNNNNNNNNNNNNNNNNNNNNNNNNNNNNNNNNNNNNNNNNNNNNNNNNNNNNNNNNNNNNNNNNNNNNNNNNNNNNNNNNNNNNNNNNNNNNNNNNNNNNNNNNNNNNNNNNNNNNNNNNNNNNNNNNNNNNNNNNNNNNNNGUGGGGGUCGGGGGAGGGGGCGGAAAAACUAGUCGAAAAACCGGACGAAUAUGACGGGCGAAAAAAACCCGCGGAGGCAAUCCUACCAACUGAGACAUUAGAAGUAGAGAUAGAUAUGACAUAACCAUUGGGGGAGGGGGGAGGGGGCAUGACCCUUGCUUGUCUCUCCUUAGCUCCGCCCUUGAGUGGUGCUAUUUUACAAGACUUGAAGGGAGGUUUUGUUGUUGCGGCCAUGGAAUAUAAACCGAAUGGAAUGGACGGUCCGACGAUGGAGGAGUUUGCGCUAUUGUCGGGACUACGACUUGUUGAUAAGAUGGACAUUUUUUCUUUGUCCACUCUUAGUGAUUCUAUGGCGAUUGUUCAAGCUAUCCAAAAUUUGGACGACUAUCGGGCGUCGGGUGCGGUAAUUACUGAUGUUUGUCGAAGGUUGAUGAGUUCUUUCGGCAAGGCGAGGAUAAAUCAUUGUGUGUGUGAUGUAAACGAGUGUGCUCAUACUAUUGCUUGUUUUAGUUUCUUGGGUUAGGAGUCAAGGGUGUGGCAUGAUAAACCUCUUGCUUUCCUGAUUCUGCUGAUUGUAAAGGAUAUGAUUAUUAAUUAAAUAAAGUCGCCGAAGUUAAAAAAAGGUAAUAUCAGCCGGAGUCAUAGAACUUGUGUCGUAUGUUUAAUUUGGUGCUAGAAUUUUUAAAAAUACGGUUUUGUGGCCAUCUAACUUGACUCAGACGUGUAGAUACGGUCAUAGUACAUGUAUCUGAGUGUAUCCAUGUGUAUGGACCCACCUGUCGGUGAGUGAUAGAGCUGGGCAUGGCAUAUUUUUUACAAAAAUACUCUUAUAUUUUUUUUAUUUAUGGAAAAGUCAACUACUGCAAGACAUUUAUACGAAACUUAAGAAAAAAACCCAGUAUACCCUAGGACUCGAACAAACGACCGUAUCUUUUAAUACAAAAUGCUCUAGCCUUUUCACCACCAGUUCAGUAUGUCUAAUCUCCAUAACGAACUCCUAUGUACUCAAAAGUGAUGCAUGUGGAGCUUAAAUGUACUGUGUAUAUUUCUGUCCACGCGCUACUUCUUUAAGAUAUUUGUAAAACAUGUGUGUUAUAUAAAUGUGUUUGUUACAUAUUUUUCACAUGUUUUUAUAUAAAUUUCUUUACCUCCAAAAAUAUUUUUUUGGCUAAUAAUUUUAAGAUAAUUUUUACUAAAUAUUUUAUAAACCUGAGUAUUAUAUAAACCAGUGUGUUAUAUAAAUUUGUGUAUUACAUAUUUUGUUUGCAUAAUUAUAAUUUUAAAAAUAUUAUUUAAAUUAUACAAACAUUUCAAUAAGUAUACACACAUUUGUGUAGUUCGAUUUUUGCAUGAUUAAAAAUAUUCAUAAUUUUAAAUUUAAACUAUUAAUAUGGACAUUCAAUCAUGGCUAAUAUUUUUUAAUAUAAGUCAUGAAUAAAAAUUAUGCACAAGUAAAUAUUCAUAUAUAUUUAGUAAAUGGUUGUAUUCGUCAUUCUGUAUAGUUUAAAUAUAAGCUACACGUUUUUCUUUUUUGGAUCUAUUAAACAUAUUUAUCUAGUAAACAUUUUCAAUGUCUGUAUCAACUAAAUAUAUUUUAUAUAAUACACAAGUUUAUAUUUAAAUGUUUUAUUUAUUAAUCAUGGUUUGUAUGUAUAGUAUUUUAACACGUAAAUAUUUGAACUUAAUUUUAUUACUUACGGUUUACAAAUAUCUUAAAUGUAUUUAUUACUUACAUUUUACCGAAUAUUUCAUAUAUAAUACACAUGUUUAUAUUUACUAAUCAUCAUCUGUAUGUAUAUAUAUUUAACACAUAAAUAAUUGAUCAUAAAUUUAUUACCUUUUUAACAAAUAUCUUAAAAAAUAGCGCGUGCAUAUGGGCCACAGAUAUGCAGCCCAUUUAAGCUCCGCAUGUGUUGGCUUCCAAUCAACAAAAAAAGUUUGGUUGGGCCAACCCCACGACCAAACAUGUAUCCCACAUUUGGUGGAUUUUGAUGAAUAAAGCUUGGUUCUACCCCUAAAGAAACAAAAUAAAAAGUUUGUACCCCCAAAAAAAGUUUGUUACCUUCCUCAGAAAUAAUAUGUAAGUUAGUUAUCUGUGUUAUACUAUAGACUAACCUGGAGGUUGUAUUGGCUUGAGUGUAUCGUGUUAAACCUGCUGUAUGCAGGUUUGAGUCCCAGCGACCCUAUUUUUUAUUGUCAAUUUUCACAUAUAAUGGCAGUACUGUUAUCGGAUUUUUCUGUAAAUAAGAAAUGUGAAGGAAUUUUGUGUAAAUAUGUGUCGUGGUGGUUGACUUUUUCCGCAACUAAAAAAAUCUGAGUGUGUUUUUGUAAAACUAUUCGUGUCUACUACUACCACUCACUGAUAAGUGGUGCCAUACACAUGGAUACGCGACAUAUGUGUACUGUGACCUUAUAUCCAUGCUUGAGUCAAGUUAGAUGACCAUAAAACAGUAUUUUUAUAAAGUUUAAGCACCAAACUAAACAUGUGAUGUAAGUCUUGUGGCUCCGGGAGAUAUUAUAUUACCUAAAAAAAGCCACUCAAGUAUUUCACAUUGUUCGGUGCCAUUCCGUCCGACUAUCCAAUUCCUGGACGUUGCAUGCAAGGCUAGCGUGCGAAGUAAAAAAAAAAAA
rnacentral:lncRNA from 1 species